CCUGGAGACCGGGAUCCAGGCUCCCGUCUGGCUAUCACUGGCAGCAUUUUGGCGCCACCUCCUGGGCAACCUGCAGAGUGCCAGGGUUCUUCUGUCAGGGUGCUUGGGGGAGCCCGGGGCUCCGCCUAGCUCCAGAAGUCUGAGGAGUCCACUGCAGGUUUCUUCCCAAGAGAUUCCUGAGCCCGGGAAAGAGAAAAUUUAAAAUAAAUAAGCGGUUGGCACCUGUGGCUCCUGUUAUAUUUGUACCAGACAACGCUGCACCAGGCUAUUCUCUUCAAAUUGUGAUGAUGGCCCAGGGCAGAAUGACAGUUAUGCAUGACACGCCCAUCCAGCUGUGUUCACUGCAAGCCCUUUCAGCAUCCUUGGUUCUGCACGGCCCUGACACUGUCCCUGAGAGUCGGGAAAGGAGCCCUUUUGAGACUGCUCUCAUCAGAGAUUUUUCUCCUGCCUUCUGUGAGGGUUGGACGCAGAGGAGGCACUGCCAGCCAGCAAGGGGAGAGGUGGCCCUGGAAAGGGAAUGUGAACCAAUUUUUGCCCCUCAGGAAUGCACUGAUGACCGUGGAGAAGCCUUGCCCUCUUGCACAAUGGACUAAAUGAUGAUAAGAUGAGGCGCCUGCCAACAAGAUGCUCAUGGUCCAGUGAGGAUGAUAAAAAAGUUUCAAACCAAGAGCCAAAAGCCAAGCCUCGCAACAGGAAUUGAAGAGGGAAUGACGAUUUGUGCUUGAAGUAAGAGCCUGACACACCAGAGGCCAAGCAGGAGCUACAGACCUGCUCUCUCAGGAGCCACCUGAGUCACCCAAGUCUGCAUUUGGUACAUCCUUUCUGACCCUCUCCACUCCUCCCAUGAGCUGCUGAGUAAGCACACCUGUGUUUCAGGUGACUCCCAGGAAACUGAUUUAGCAGCACAGCAGUAAGUCCAGGUGGCUGGGGAAGAAUCUCACGCUGGGUCCCAGGCUACUGGGGGGUGGGAAGCAGAGGAUGGGCCUGUGUUCAGCAACCGCAGCUGCAGGAGUCUCUCGCUGCACCGCGAGGCUGGUCCUGUACCUCCACCUCAGGCUUCAGGAGUACAGCCAGGCUGGGCAACAAAGAAGGGCAUGCCCCAUAAACUCCAGUUGACUUUAGAGCAGUGUCAGCUGGCUUUCUCAGUCCCUUUUUAGAGUAACUCCAUGUCCACCUGGCCACGGUUUGGUAUUACUCCAGCGUGCCCUGGUGGCUCAGGAUGCCAGCUGUGGCUACCGCAUCCAGCCUCAGAGUGCAUCAGAGCAGUGUCUCUGAUGCAUGACCUCCCCUUCACAGUGUGAAAAACCUCCUGGGCUCUUCCACCAGUGCACCUAGCAAAAGUGAGAAAGCAUGCUUAGAUUUGGGGAGCAGGGUUUAAAUAAUGUUUUUCUUGCUCUUUCUUUCUUCUGUAAGGAUCUGCUUUAUAUCUUGCGAUACCAUGGCAGAAAUAUAUUUGGUCUUUGCGGACAGUUCUGGACACACAGCUCCAAAAACUCUCAGAAUCUCUGGAGUGAUGAGUGUCUUUUGUAUGCUACUGAGAUGACUGGUGGCUAGGGGACCCUAGAGAGCCUUAGGAUAAGAGCUGGUCACCAGAAAGACCAGGGCUUGAUUAGAGGGUUGGAACUUUCAGCCCCACCCCCUGACCUUCGGGGAGG